rnacentral:rRNA from 1 species
CCAGCAGCCGCGGUAAUACGUAGGGUGCGAGCGUUGUCCGGAAUUACUGGGCGUAAAGAGCUCGUAGGUGGUUUGUUGCGUCGUCUGUGAAAUUCCGGGGCUUAACUUCGGGGUGGCAGGCGAUACGGGCAUAACUAGAGUGCUGUAGGGGAGACUGGAAUUCCUGGUGUAGCGGUGGAAUGCGCAGAUAUCAGGAGGAACACCGAUGGCGAAGGCAGGUCUCUGGGCAGUAACUGACGCUGAGGAGCGAAAGCAUGGGGAGCGAACAGGAUUAGAUACCCUGGUAGUCCAUGCUGUAAACGGUGGGCGUUAGGUGUGGGGACCGGUUUGGUUUCUGUGCCGUAGCUAACGCAUUAAGCGCCCCGCCUGGGGAGUACGGCCGCAAGGCUAAAACUCAAAGGAAUUGACGGGGGCCCGCACAAG